rnacentral:rRNA from 1 species
GAUGAACGCUGGCGGCGUGCCUAAUACAUGCAAGUCGAGCGAACAGACGAGGAGCUUGCUCCUCUGACGUUAGCGGCGGACGGGUGAGUAACACGUGGAUAACCUACCUAUAAGACUGGGAUAACUUCGGGAAACCGGAGCUAAUACCGGAUAACAUGUUGAACCGCAUGGUUCAACAGUGAAAGACGGUCUUGCUGUCACUUAUAGAUGGAUCCGCGCCGCAUUAGCUAGUUGGUAAGGUAACGGCUUACCAAGGCAACGAUGCGUAGCCGACCUGAGAGGGUGAUCGGCCACACUGGAACUGAGACACGGUCCAGACUCCUACGGGAGGCAGCAGUAGGGAAUCUUCCGCAAUGGGCGAAAGCCUGACGGAGCAACGCCGCGUGAGUGAUGAAGGUCUUCGGAUCGUAAAACUCUGUUAUUAGGGAAGAACAAAUGUGUAAGUAACUAUGCACGUCUUGACGGUACCUAAUCAGAAAGCCACGGCUAACUACAUG